AGAGAUGAUGCUAGGUAGUUGAUCCUAUAGUUCAACUUUGUUCCUAGAUAGAAGCUGGAUUCAUCUGCUACCAGAGAAAUGAAACUUCAGGAGACCAAAACUACAUCUGAGUUUGUAGAAACUUCUUUCCCAGCCUUGAGACUCUUGGGUGUUAUGAGUCUUAGAUAUACAAUAGAUGAUGACAACAUUUUUCUUUUAUGUAUGAAGAUGUAGAUGAUUCUUCAAAUUAAAGAUGGAAGCUGGCUUUUCUCACCAGAAAUGGUUUAUAGAAUCAACUUGCAAAAUAUGAGGCAGCAAACAGAGGAAAGAGUAAAAUAUUUCUUUUAUCAUCCUUAGGUUCUUUGCUAGAUUGUAAACUCCAUGAAGGCAGGACAACUUCCUUAACACCUGGCCUAGAAUAAAUACUCAAAAAAUA